UACGGGGGGGAGCAAGCGUUGUUCGGAUUUACUGGGCGUAAAGGGCGCGUAGGCGGCCAGCACAAGUCAGUUGUGAAAUCUCCGAGCUUAACUCGGAACGGUCAACUGAUACUGUGCGGCUAGAGUGCGGAAGGGGCAACUGGAAUUCUUGGUGUAGCGGUGAAAUGCGUAGAUAUCAAGAGGAACACCUGCGGCGAAGGCAGCACUCUGGGGACGGUACUGACGCUGAGACGCGAAAGCGUGGGGAGCGAACAGG
rnacentral:rRNA from 1 species